rnacentral:rRNA from 1 species
UACGAAGGGGGCUAGCGUUGCUCGGAAUCACUGGGCGUAAAGCGCACGUAGGCGGAUCCUUAAGUCGGGGGUGAAAUCCUGGAGCUCAACUCCAGAACUGCCUUCGAUACUGAGGAUCUCGAGUCCGGGAGAGGUGAGUGGAACUGCGAGUGUAGAGGUGAAAUUCGUAGAUAUUCGCAAGAACACCAGUGGCGAAGGCGGCUCACUGGCCCGGUACUGACGCUGAGGUGCGAAAGCGUGGGGAGCAAACAGGAUUAGAAACCGGGUAGUACCCAGACCGAGU